AAAGGAGAGCUGGGGAGGACACAGACAUUUCUAUGGCCCUGGUCAGAGUUUAGGCCGUGCGGAGAAUCUUUCUACAACACGUCUCUCUUUCCCGGGUGUGUGACACACACACUGUGUUACCAGGUUCUCCCCCUACGGCUGUCUAGUUACACACCCGUUAAUCUGCAUGCCCGCGGUUAAUAUAUCUAGCCGUUCAGGGUGUAACUAUAUUACCCACCAGUCCAUCCAUUUUGCAAAUGCCCGUAUGGUGCUUAUUUAAUAAAGGAUUUGCUCGGUGUAUUCAUAUCUUACAGUCCACAUUGAAGGGAUCCCUACAAUAUUUUCUUUCAAAAUGGUAUGUUGGAUACUACACAGCCGCCUGCGGGAUAAAUAAAACAACCCGAUAAACCAACAAAAAGAUUCCCAUUAUGUGGUGCCAUCAGCCCCAGGAAAAGUACAUUUUAAAAUGUCCCCCCCCCCCCCAUCCAUUUUACAGGUAAUUCUCUCCUAGACAGAUUCCGUUUUCUAUCGCUAACCCAUUCAAUACAUGUGGGUAUUUUUGCUUACCCUUACAAGUAUACUAGAAGGAGACAAGUUGAAAUUCAAACCUUGCCCACCCUUUAUAAUAGCACGGGGGCCUUCCUCAGCCUUCCUCCUUUGUUUUGAAAUCAAAAGGCUCCGUGGCAUGAUCAGUUGCCCUUUGACGUGCAGUAGGCAUGGUGAUAUUCGAGCACAUGUAUACACAGAGAAAAUGCAUAAUGUUACCAUGCUGUUAUAGAGCGGGGUGCAAGCUGCGUGUGGCUCUGUCCAGCUCUGGGUAUCUAGCUUCGGAUCCAGCGAGAGAUCGGAUGUAUUUGCUCACAGGCACCCUUAUUUCAAGUAAAGGAAUCCACGGGAGCCCUUCUGUGCCACCAGGCGACCUCUUUAUGAUCCCCUGAGUGAAAAGGGCAGAGAAAUAAACGAAAGAAGAAUGGGAAAGUCCUUGACCCCUGACCUUUAGAUUUUGUUCCUUUCCCUCUGAAGCAGGAUGCUAACAAUGCGGGUCUGGUCUAUCUCAAUGAAGAAGGACAUGCGAGGUUAAGCAAAGUCCCCGUGUCCCCAUUGUCUGGCUUGUUUAUUGCGAUCAUGUUAAGAGUGUGAGCGAGGGCUGCAUUUGACGCUAAAGCCCAGUUGAAACCUAUUUCGCGUUGAGUGGAACUGGCAGAGCUGCUGUGGACAACAGCGACACUUAGUGACUCAUUUUGGAGCUGAACUGUAUGUGCGACCAGGAGUAAGAGCUGCACUGUGUAGAACUGUUUAAUUCCAAUCUUAUUUUUCAAAUCUAUCGUGUUAACAUUCCCUCUUUGAGAUGGUUCGAGCUUGUUACAUUAAAACUUAUUGUCAUAAUUAAUAAUAAAAUAAUAAUAAUAAUAAUAUUGUUACUGAAAACACAGGUUUCGAGUCUGGGCUUGUCUGCUGUUUAGCAUUUGCUGCUUUUGGUUUAAACCGCAGACAGCUUGUCAAUGAAUUAAAUGUUUCCUCCUCACCAUGAAUUAAGACAUAAAUUAAAUGCUGCUGCCCUUGUAUCAUCGGGAUGAUUUUAUUUGUUGCUAUAGGGUUUGACUGAAGGAAUGUUCAUUGGACUGAGGUUGGGGGAUGUUUUUACCAAUUUAAUGACACUAACAAAAUAUAUUUUUUGUGUGUAUAGUUAUAUAGAUAUAUAUUAAUGUGCAGGUAUUUUACAGUUGUGAAUUUCUUUUUUUCUUUAAUCCCAGCACUAGAAAUAGGAAGAACUUGAUUCUCAGAUGGACAGAGGAUAGAGAUGCUCCUGAAAACAUCUUACAAAUUAAUUUAAGAUGAAAAUGGACAUCAUUUCUCUUUAGUGCAAGUUUUAUAUUUUUAUCUGCUUAAUUCGUUCAGUUUUAGUGUAGGAGACCGGAUACUGGAAAAAAUUAUUUCAUCCUACCUGACACAACUUUUCCAAGUUCUCAGAUAAUCGAAAUCUUGGAGUCUAUAAGGUUUAUACCAGUCUAGAGGUAGCUUAGAGGUGAAGCACAUUUAUGGGAGGGCCUCUGGUUCGUAUCUCACAUACAGAACAGAGAAUAUUGCCAGGUAUGUUAAUUAAAAUGUAUUGUUUUUAAUUAAGUAGAAAUGGCAGACAGUUGGGUGAUUUAAGGGGAUAUAUGGAGUAGGAAGUAUAAACAAAAUAUGACUACUGCUUGCUGUUAAAAUGUAAUUUAAGAUCAAAUAUUGUCCACAAAAAUCGAUUGUUGCCAGUUUGCUGCUAACAAAACAGUACAUGACAUUAAAAAAAUCCAAACAGGAAAUAUUACAGAAAA